rfam:Salmo salar isolate Sally breed double haploid chromosome ssa03, whole genome shotgun sequence.
CCCCCUGUGGCUCAGUUGGUAGAGCAUGGUGUUUGCAAUGCCAGCAUGGUGUGUGCAACGCCAGGGUUGUGGGUUCGAUUCCCACGGGGGGC